rnacentral:rRNA from 1 species
GACGAACGCUGGCGGCGUGCUUAACACAUGCAAGUCGAACGGAAAGGCCCUGCUUUUGUGGGGUGCUCGAGCGGCGAACGGGUGAGUAACACGUGAGUAACCUGCCCUUGACUUUGGGAUAACUUCAGGAAACUGGGGCUAAUACCGGAUAGGAGCUCCUGCUGCAUGGUGGGGGUUGGAAAGUUUCGGCGGUUGGGGAUGGACUCGCGGCUUAUCAGCUUGUUGGUGGGGUAGUGGCUUACCAAGGCUUUGACGGGUAGCCGGCCUGAGAGGGUGACCGGCCACUUGGGGAAGGAGACACGCCCGAGACCCCUGCGGGGGGAAGGAGGGGGGAUUAUCGCUCAAGGGGCGGGACCCUGAUGCGACACCGCGGGGUGGGGGAUGAGGGCUUGCGUGUUGAAAGCCGCUUUCCCAUGUAGCGAGGGGAGAGGGGGGAUAGAUGGAAAAAAAGCACGGAAAAACAUGGU